UUAAGAGUAGAGAACAUUAGUUAUCUAUUUUUAUGGGGAGCGGCGGACGGCUGAGUAACGCGUAGGAACGUACCCCAAAGUGAGGGAUAACCACUCGAAAGAGUGACUAAUACCGCAUAUGGUCUUCGGAUUAAAGCAGCAAUGCGCUAUGGGAACGGCCUGCGUCGGAUUAGGUUGUUGGUGAGGUAAUGGCUCACCAAGCCGACGAUCCGUAACUGGUCUGAGAGGAUGAUCAGCCAGACUGGAACUGAGACACGGUCCAGACUCCUACGGGAGGCAGCAGUUAGGAAUCUUCCACAAUGGGGGCAACCCUGAUGGAGCAACACCGCGUGCUGGAUGAAGGCCUUCGGGUCGUAAACAGCUUUUGUAUACGAAGAAUAUGACGGUAAUAUACGAAUAAGGGUCGGCUAACUACGUGCCAGCAGCCGCGGUCAUACGUAGGACCCAAGCGUUAUCCGGAGUGACUGGGCGUAAAGAGUUGCGUAGGCGGCUUAUUAAGUGGAUAGUGAAAGCUGGUGGCUCAACCAUUCAGUCUAUUAUCCAAACUGGUAAGCUCGAGAAUGGUAGAGGUAGCUGGAAUUUCUUGUGUAGGAGUGAAAUCCGUAGAUAUAAGAAGGAACACCAAUGGCGUAGGCAGGCUACUGGACCAUUUCUGACGCUGAGGCACGAAAGCGUGGGGAGCGAACCGGAUUAGAUACCCGGGUAGUCCACGCCGUAAACGAUGGAUGCUAGCUGUGGGGGGUAUCGACCCCCUCCGUAGCGAAGCUAACGCGUUAAGCAUCCCGCCUGUGGAGUACGGCCGCAAGGCUAAAACAUAAAGGAAUUGACGGGGACCCGCACAAGCGGUGGAGCGUGUUCUUUAAUUCGAU
rnacentral:rRNA from 1 species